AUCGCUUCUCGGCCUUUUGGCUAAGAUCAAGUGUAGUAUCUGUUCUUAUCAGUUUAGAUAUAUCUGCACCUGUAUGAGAUAAGUCACACAUGUUUAAAUGUUAGAAACAUGUCAAACAUGUCCUCU
ensembl:snRNA U2 U2 spliceosomal RNA